CUCGCGACGUGCGUCCGCGCCUCCCCCGUCAUCCCCUCCCCGAUCUCCUCCCCUUUCCUAUCUUGUCCGCGCGGGCGCUCCCCUCUGCGAGAGCGCCCCAAUCCCUCCGUAAGCGAGGCGCUCGUGAGCGUCCGCGGCGAGACCGUCAGCGGGACCCCGUCCUCGAGCGCCGCCCGCCGCGACGGUGCCCGGGAUCUCCUCGUCCGCACGCCGUCCGCGCGCCGUCCGCGACCCCAGCGCUGCUGGCGACCUCGCCGUCCGCGAGACCGUCGCGCCGUCCGCGACAGAGUCGGGACCGCGGGCACCUCCGUCUGCGCGAGGACGGGCCUCGAGCGCCGCCCGCGACCUCCUCGUGAGCGCCGUCCUCGAGCUGCCGUCCGCGCGACCCCCGUCCUCGAGCGCCGUCUGCCGUGAGAGCGUCGUCCACACGCCGCCGUCCGCGACAGCUGCCGUCCGCGCGAGCCCCGUCCUCGAGCGCCGCCCGCGAGCCGUCGCGACCGCCGCCAUGAGCACGCCGGUGGCCGUGGAUGCGUCCGCGCUCGUCGGUAAAGCCCUACCCCGGAUCUUCACCAGCACUAGGCCACCACCUCCGCCCCAAGUCCCGUGCUUCGGACCUUCGCCGCGGCGUCCUGCGGUGCAGCCCCUGGCGCCCAGAAUCCAUGCCUAUGUGACCGCGACUCCGCGAACAGGUGCACGGAGCAGCAAAGGACGGCUACUAGCCUCGCUCGCACCUAGGGUUGGGAGCUUGGGGCGGCGCUGGCCGCGGCGCGAGCAGCAACCGGUCGAGUCGCCUAGCAGGGGAGCAGCGCAGGCAGCCGGUAGUCGGACCCUUCUACUAUCGAGACGACCAUCCUCCACACCAGUAAUUUUAUGUCAGGUUUGUUCAUGGGGAUGUUAAACCCGUGAAUUUUCUACUUGGUCAGCCUGGAUCCCAUGAUGAGAAAAAACUUUUUCUUAUUGAUCUUGGGUUAGGUACGUCAUGGCACUUCUCCUGUGAUUGAUAUUUUGCUUACACAUGUUAAGAUGGUCUAACCAAUUUCCAGUAUGGUGUGGUGUUUGAAAAAUGGACCAAACGCUCUAAUGCUCUUGUUAAUCAUUUCAACAUACUACAGGAUAACUGAGAUUGCCAUGUACAGGAUCACAUGGAAGGCGAAAGACUAAAUGGGAUCUGAAGUACUUUCUAAGUCCAUACUAAUAUCUUGAUCAAUUUGUUCUUUUUCUGCCAUUAUUGUAGGGCAAGCAUACUGUUUCUGGGAGCUACUAAUCUUCACGCUUUUUGAACUGAUCGUACAUUCUUUUACUGAGGCUGCCAUGGAUUAGGAAAAAUACAGAGUCUUUUUUGGGGGGUAGCUAGCAUAGUAUUUAGUGAUUUUAGACGAGUAUUAAAUUUUAGUGUGCAUAGGCUUUUUACUUGAUCAUGAUCUCUUACCUCUCUAAUGAAGAUGUGUACAAUGCCAUAAUAAUGGAUAGAAAAUCAUGGUUAAUUCCAUGUUUGGGGUAGGUUGUACAUUCCAACUUUUUUCUCUCUGUUUGAAGAUAAGCAAUUUGCUUUCUGGUAUGUUGCAUGUAUUUCAGAAUAAAUUAACAUAAAAAUGUCAGCAGAAGUGUUUUAUUUUAGUAAUAUAUAUUCACAACCAAUGUAAUUUAGUACCCCCACGUAUUAUAUUGUUACCAGUUAAUCUGUGUGGUUAGUAUUUUCAGGGUUCCUCAAUGUUCUACAUAAAAAUUGCCAAAAAAAACAGAACCUUAAAUUAAACUGAAAUAUCAGAAAGGUCUCUGAUCAAGCCUUUGAUUUUGUGCUGCUAAAAAAAUGCACUUGUAGAUGAGGCAGCCCGGCUGGUGAGCAGACCGUCGACCAUCGCUCGACUGAUCUGGCGACGAGGCGGAUCAGAUAGGAUGGAGGGGCUCGCCCUCGUUGGAUCCGGUGAGGAGGCAUCCUAACCAAGGUGGAGGCUGAGGGUUCAGGCGACGAGGCACCAUGGGCGGGGACAGGAGUGGUGAGCUCGGCGACGUACAGCAGUAGUAGUGGAUGUCACUGAUUAGUUGCAUUCUUUUUGAAGCCUCACUUAGUUGCAUUCAAUGUGAACUUGUCUUCCUCUUUGAUUGAAGUGCUGGUCACCGGCCGGCACCAUCAUUGUCACCAAAUCUCUUGAUCAUUCCCUUUAUCUAUAGUGCUUGCUACUGCAUCCUACAAAUUUCCUAACAAAUCAUCAUCACUUGCUUGGGGCAGGAGGCGUGCUAUCACAGUUCACAGGUGGGCAGAGGCAGCUGGGUAGAUGUGGCAGACCUUUAUAUGAAACAACCGUUAAUAUGCAUUUUGGGCACUCCAAAUGAAGAAACUUUGCCAGACAUUGUUUUGUUAUCCGAUUACAAGUCAAAUUUGCAGAAGUGGCCGAUGUGGGAUGAAAUAGUCAAGGACUUGACCUGAUUUUUAUAAGGUCAUGUGUUUACUUAUGUGUUGCUACUGAAUUUACCAGGCCAUGUGUUUACUGAAUUGUAAGAGCUAGAAAACUAUUCGAGCAUUCCAGUACUCAAUGAAACAAUAAAGGCAAGCACUUCAGUACUCCAAAGCCAUGCGCACAGUUAAGAAUGUAUGUAUCCUUCACCAUGUCGCUCGCUGGAUCCAUCUUGCCCGCCCCGACACACCAGGAAUGUGAAAAGUCCACUAUAUGUAGCUAGAUCCAAGAAGCAUAGGAAGAUGAAAGGGAUUGAUGAAGUCAUACAAUUGAGUUUGUGAGCAUGCGACGCUAUGCUCUUCAUGACUAUAUUAAUUUUAUAAAUUUUGUUUUUUGAAUUAAAUGUCACUUGAACGUUGGUAUUUAAUUUUAUAGUAUUGUUAUUUUA